UAAUCUGGCACCUUCGGUGUCCGAGUUGUAAUCUCUAGAAGUGUUUUCCGCGUUGGACCGCACACAAGUCUGUUGGAAUACAGCGGCAUAGUGGUGAAACCCCCGUAUAUGGUGCGGACGCCCAGCGCUUUGUGAUACACUUUCAAUGAGUCGAGUUGUUUGGGAAUGCAGCUCAAAUUGGGUGGUAAAUUCCAUCUAAAGCUAAAUAUUGGCGAGAGACCGAUAGCGAACAAGUACCGUGAGGGAAAGAUGAAAAGCACUUUGGAAAGAGAGUUAACAGUACGUGAAAUUGUUGGAAGGGAAACGCUUGAAGUCAGACUUGCUUGCCGGAGCUUGCUUCGGUUUGCAGGCCAGCAUCAGUUUUCCGGGGUGGAUAAUGACGGUUUGAAGGUAGCAGUCUCGGCUGUGUUAUAGCUUUCCGUUGGAUACGCCCUGGGGGACUGAGGAACGCAGCGUGCUUUUUGCGAAAGACUCGU
rnacentral:rRNA from 1 species